ACUAAACCGCACUUUUUCCUCAUUUCAAGAGCAGCAGAUGAUAUAUAAACGGAACGGACUACUUCGUAGUAAAUUAGCUGGAUGGUUAACUGCUUGUCGGGUGAUAUUGCUUUCCCUGCGAAAUAUAAUCGGGCAAUAUUAAACGGACACGUUUAUAUGUUUAUGUCGUAGUUUACCUGUGCCGAGAAUUCAGCAGAAGACACGUCUGAUAUUUGCUAAUCACAAAGCAAGAGAAACAUUUGAGGUGUAAGUAGGAUCAGCCACAAGAAUGGCAAAGGCAAGAUUCAUACAUUUGUGUUUGGGUUUGUCUGUUUGUUGUUUGACCAGCCAAAGCUUGAAUGUGACACUAGUUAAUCCUGAGGAGAACAUAAGCAUCGACUGUGACAGUCAUACGGAACAAGUUCAUUGGUACCUGCAGCGCUCAGGACGACCGCCGGCGCCGAUACUGCGCUCAUUCGGCGGUGCUUUAGCUGAUGCGUUUUACUAUGAUACUGGAUUGCAGAGCAAAUAUUCAUUACAAGCCGGCAACAGACUGUUUAUACAUAAUUUUACAACAGAAGAUUGUGCAACAUAUUACUGUGGGGUGCUUGGCGAUGGUGUCUUCAGAUUCUUUAACGGAAUCAGACUGAAUGUUACAGACAUGGUCAAUGGACAUCAAAUUUUGACCUCUGACAGUCAAGUGGAGCAGCGAUGUGGAAUUUUUCGUAAUUCAGUGUUUAUUGCUGCCGUCGUUUUAAAUUUCACGUUGAUCGUUAUAAUCCUAGGUAGGCCUAGGUUAAAAGAAGUUAGUAAUAUCACUAAAAGCAUCAUUUACAUACAUUUUUCGGAAAUCUAUAACAUUUAACAAGAUAAAAAAUAUUUCACAGAUAUGAAAAAAAUACACUACGUAAGUAACCCGGACUACAAAACUGUCCAGGAGAAGCGAUUGGACGGACGAUGACUAAAAAAAUCGUGUCUAUUAUUUAUUUCAGUUUUGACAAAGAAACUCUGCACUGCUCUUAACUGCAAACUUUUCCAGAAAGUGGAAGCACCCGAGGAAGAUACAACGUACUGUGUAAUGGAGGUUUCUGAAAAACAGCAUGUAUGAAGCUGAGAAAUAACUGCAUACGGCGAAGUUCGUCUUCCAACCCCGUGAGCUGCCCUGCACUGCUUAAAAGACCUUUUUUGGGCUAUUUUUAUUACUUUGUACAAAUUAUAACUGGGAAUGCAAAACAAAUUCCCAGUGAAAAACGCAUAUUUAACACAUAAAGAUAAGUUAAGCAGUCUGAUGGGUUUCAUUUGACAAACGUAUUUGAAGUCAUGAACAGGAACAGCAAUUUCACUAACCGACAAUAUCGUACUUUGGCCUGAGCUCAUGGGGUGACCCAGGGUGAGUGACUUGGGAACAUACCGCCUCUUAUUAUUUUAGGUCACAGUGUCUCUACUCUGGGUUACUUUUAAAAUGUUAUUCCUUCCUUUUUUCUGUUCUGUAUUACUCUGUCAAAUGAUGUCAAAUGUAUCACAAAACAUCCAUGUAAAGCGCAUUGGGACGACUCUGUUGUGAGAGGCGCUUUAUGAAGAUGAAUUGAACAUUGUACAUGAGCUAUUCAGUGUUUGGCAGAUACCACCUGAUCAUCUACCACCCUUGAGAAAGUUAGUUCCUAUAGUCCCUCUGCUCCAUCUUCAUUCACUGGUCACACUGCCCUCAUUGUCCUUUUCCAGAGUGACACCAUCCUCGUAGAGUCCAGCGCAGACCUUCUGCAUAAAGACAGAGUGGGAAUAUCAACCCCUCCCCUUUCCCAAGCUCACUGUAGAUCGUUGACUGAGUUAUGGGCAGAACAAUGAUUUCCACUAUAGGCAGCAAUUUCCCCACUGCAGGGGUGUAGAUGGUGGGGGGAACAGGACACACACCCCCCCCCCCCAAGUUAUAUAGGGACCCUGAUCCAUCCCCGACCAACUUUUCAGGGGAAAAAAAAAACAAAACUAUAAUAAGUAGCAUCCCUAAAUAUGGUUGGGUAUCUCUUCAUUUGUGCUUAAUUCACAGACUUUGUGGUUGUUUCAGUCCUGGGAUGGACUGGAAUUAAAUUUUGACCCUGGACUUUGGGGUCACUGAUGGCCCCAUGACAGGAGCUUAGCCGACUUAGCCUUAAUCUUUUACGGCCAUAAUGUUUUGCCUGGGGUAGGGGGUUUCAUUUUUCAAACCCUGGGAAGGCGAGGGUUCCUCUUGGUAAAUCUGGCCACCCCACAUCUACACCAGCCCAUUGGGAAACUGCUGAAUGCAAGAUGGCUAGUCCAACCAUGUUUCAGCUUAUAAUGUUCCCGUUCAGCUUGUCAGCUCCCUGUUUCGCCAGCAGGUGUCGCUGGCCAUCCCAUUUUCCUCAUGUUUCCCACAUUUUUUUGUUCUUCCGCCUCCCCCCAGGGCCCCACAUAGCUCAAUAGGCUAAAUGGGUGAUUUUACCCCAAGCAACCCUUCCAUUAUGGGACAUUUUGGUUCUACAUUUUGUUUUUCUGCCCUGGAUUCUGUUGUAAAUAACCUCGCUCAUUAUGUUUUCUUGUAUCUCUGUUUGGACCCUUGUUUUGCACCAUAGCUAUCCCUCAUAUAGUCUUAUAGUAUGUUCUGUUCCCACAUUCUAGCAUCUCCUUUGUGCUUGUCCCCGAAUUAUUUGUUUAUUACCCCCACCUGUUCAUCGUUGCCCCUAGUCUCUUGUGUUUGUGGUUGGUUAGUAAUAGCCCGCACCUGUCCCUUAUUUAAGCCCUCAUUACCUCCGUAUUUAAGCGACUGCCCUUGCCCUGUGCUUCUGUUGGUUGUGGUGUUUUGUUCAUGUGUGGUCUUUGUUGAGGUUUUAUGUGUUAGACUGCAGUUUUUUUCCCCCCCUGAAUGUGUAUGUUUCCCUUGAAUUUCUUAGACUGGUUAUUUCUUGUUUUAUUAACUUCCGUUGUUCUGACCCUUCGCGGUUUCAUUUUGUCUGUGAGUUCAUUUUACAAUAAACUCCCCUUUCAGCAUAAACCACAAUGUAGAUCGUCCAUCUGUCACGCCCCGUCAGCCUAAAAUUAUUGUUUCUGUUGAGUUCCGGUACGGUGUAACAUAAAAGUCAACAAGCAUUUACACCAAACUUCUGGUUCCAGUUUCAUUAGCAUGUUGCAAUUUAAAAAGACAGUUUCAGGGUUUGGGUAUUUAAAAGAUGUACAAACACCAGCACAAAAUGCCUCGUUUGUGUUGAUCCCUGCAAGAGUGCUGGACAGAAUGAUAUGGAAUGCCGUGGAUCCGUGUGUUAUUCGUUCCCUGUUAUUUUAUUUUCAUUCUUCUAUCUUAAUGGUUCAUAAUUUAGGGCUUUUGAACUGUUGAUGCUUCACACAGAUAACAGGUGUGGAAAAAAAAAUAAAGCAGAGUGAUACAUUUAAUAAAAACGGCAGCACAUAGCAUAUAGUUAAAAGUAGAUGAGAUCUUUUGUUCUGAACAAAGGGUGCGGGGGGGCAAGGUAUUUUCCACCCAGUGUUUGUAUUGUGAACGUGCAACAAUGAUGUCACCUUUUUGUGCAGGAGUGUAUCUGAGCUCGGCAGAUAUCAGCUUAUACGUACUGAGCAUCUGCCGCUCCACCUUCAGUGUCCGUCACCUCUGUCCUAUUCGGUGGCACCGCUGUCUCUGCGGAGUGCGACUCUCUCCUUCCUUACAAAGGCCAUAGUGGUUUCUCUCCUUUACGUCACACACACACAUUGUGUGCGGUAUGAAUGGGCGAUACUGACAUUGUUUAAUACUGACACAGGUACUUUAUGUACCAAAAUGUUCGUUCUGCAUCAAAAUUUAACAAAUACAAAGAACAUUUCAGAACCUUUUUAAAACUCUCUUUAAACUGCUGGUUAUGUGAUAUUUUCAGGUGUUUGUUUAGGAAGAAGAGCGUGUUAGUGUUUUCAGGCUUGAGUCGACUAGCUGCAGUUGUGAUGCUUGAAAGUUAGUGAACCCAUCAGAAUUUUCCAUAUUCCUACAUAAAUAUGACUUAAAAUGAUAAUCAGAUCUUCGCACAAGUCCUAAAAGUACUCUAUCAAAAAAGGGUAAAACCACUUCUUGUCACUGGGACUGUAUUCUCAAGGGUCUGCCAAUUGUACACUGUAGGUAAUUAUACCUUUUAACGUACAGAAAUGGACUCUGAGAAACAUUUCUGUAUUACUGAUGGUACAUUAAUGCUGUUUGUACCUUUGGGAUCUUCCUCAGAGUUCAAUUCUGUACCUAAAAAAGGUACAAUUACAUGGAUACAGCCCCAGGGACAAGCAUAGGUACAAAGUUUUACCCUUUUUUCUGAGAGUGUAGGUGAAGAUAACGCAACUGAACAAAUGAGACAAAAUAUCAUACUUUGUCAUUUAUUUAUUGAGGAAAAUAAUCCACUGUCACAUAUCUGUGAAUGGCAAUAAUAUGUGAACAUAGAAGGUAAUUUGAAGGUGAGAUUAGAGUCAGGUGUUCUUAAUUGAUGUCAUGGUUGUCAGUCAAUGUGAUAAUCAGGUGUGAAUGGGCACCUUGUUUAUAUUAAAUGAACAGGAUUCCAUCAAGGGGGGUGGCAUGGUGGUGCAGUGGUUAGCACUGUUGCCUCACACCUCUAGGACCUGGGUUCGAGUCUCCGCCUGGGUCACAUGUGUGGGGAGGUUGUAUGUUCUCCCCAUGUCGUUGUGAAAAACAUGCUGAGGCUAAUUGGAGUUGCUAAAUUGUUCCUUUCCUCGCACCCAUUGCUUCCAGGAUAGGCUGGUUGAAGAAGAAUAAAAUAAAGUUUUUGGAAUGGCCAAGUCAAAGUUCUGACCUAUCGAAUAUAUAUAGAUAUAUGUCCAAUAUUGUAGAAUUCAUUUGAGAAAAUCCAAGCCGAUGUGCAGGACUGAUGAAGAUUUACCGGAAACAUUUAUUUGCAGUUAUUGAUGCAAAAGGGGGUCACACCAAAUAACAAAAAAAAUUAAAAACAAAGGUUCACAUACUUUUGCCACUCACUGGUUUGUGACAUUGGAUCAUUUUUCUCAGUAAAUGAAUGACUAAGUAUGAUUUUGUUUUUCAGUUGUGUUUUCUUCGCCUACUUAUAGGACUUUUGUGAAAAUCUGAUGUCAUAUUUAUGCAGGAAUAUGGAAAAUUCACCACAGCAGACUCUGGCCACUGACCAGCCGUCAAUGGGUCCCCACUUGUCAGCCGUGAAGAGCCAUGGUGUGACCACAAUGACCAGUAUGUUGGAGCAUGAGGAGGCGUGCCGCAGCAGGGAGCCUUGGCUAGCUCGGGAGGUGGUACGGGAGUCCAUGGAGCAGAAGUGGCAGUGCGGCAAGCUGACCAGCUGGGAGCAGGAGCGCAACCGCCAGACGUGUCUGGUAGACGCGGCAUUAUGUGGCUGCGAGAUGGUGUUGCUUGGCCAGGAUAAGGUGCGUCGCACCCAGGAGAGCCAGCAGGCCCAGGAUCGCAGCACGUUGGAGGAGCAGCACAGCCACUUCCUGCGGGAGCAAAAGCUGCUGUGCAGGGCUGCCCAUCCAUGCGAGCAGGAGGCCCUGUGGUAGGACCAGCCUGGCGCACAUCAUCACGGCCCACCAAGCAGGGGAGGAAGAAGGGCCGAGGCCUGAAAGGAGCCACACUGCCGGUGGCCCCCAGCUGCUCUAUAAGCUGGCAGUCCACAGACAAGGGGGCCUGGCUGUGGGAGUCACGGGGAGUGGUGUUACCUGGCCAGGAGGACCUUCUGGAAGGAAUACCGUCGGCUGCCACUGGCCCUCUGGGACUUGCUUCACAAAUUAGUUGGAGACUCGACCACUGGGGGGCAGUGUAGCGCCGGUGGGAUUUGUAUAUCCCAUCAUACUGUAAAUAGUCUCUUGUCAUCUUAUUAUUGUUAAUACUUCUUGUAUUUCCUAUUGUUGCUUGUGCAUCUGCCUGUGUCAUAUGUGAACCUGUCCAAUCCUGGUGUGUUUUUAGCCAUUGUAUAAAUUACCCACCGUGUGUAUAACUGACAGUCCAGCAUCUGACCUCCCUGUGUUUCCUGCUGUAGCUGGUUCCUGCUUGUUUAAGUGUCUGUGGUAGUAAUAUUCAGGACUAAAUAAAAGGGGUUGUUCUCCCUUUAUAACAACCUCCUUGUUAUUCACAGCUGUCCUGGCCUGCCAGUCACAAUUAAUUAUUAUUAAGAAAUCAUUUGCAUUCUGCUUGUUAGUCCGACCGACGUGUUGUAUUAGAUUAUUAAUGGAUAUUUAGCUCGAUAACGACAUGUGAAAUGUUAACAUGUUAAAAAUAGUGAAAUUAUUGUGUCAUUCUUUGGGGAUGCAUCAGGACACAUAUUAGGGUUUACACUACAAAAGAUAUGUGGUCAAAUGCAUCCAGACCACCUCAGCAAGUGAUUUGAGUGGUCGGAUGCGUCUUGAAGGUCGUUAGCACUUGUAUUUAGCUGUACACCUGCGAUCAGAUCCGCACGAUGCAUUAAAACCAAGUGUAAACCAGACUGAUGGCACUCCGUCACUAUGACUGACACGUCAUAGACCACUUUCGUGUUUGCAAACAAACAUGACGUGUUUUGUGGGUGGAACAUAAAAUUGUAGCAAAA